GUGCCCAGUUGGAUUUGUAGAGAAGAACAACCACACCCUCUGCAGUACAGCACCUGGAGAGGAACUGCUGCCAUGACCAUACAGGACACCCUCUGGAUACAAUGCCAGACUUGAUGUGGGACUUACUAACCUAUGGACCCCAGGCACCACCACCUAGACCUGCUCAGCACCUGAAACUUUUCUAUCUCCUGUUCACUCUUCAUGUAGACAUAUCUUCAAGUCAUCUUCUCCAGGUGAUACAAACCUUAAGAGCAUCUUUGUACCCAUCAGGAACGAGUACACAGUGAGUGAUAUGCAUUUGUUGAGUUGGAUCUUUGAUAUUUCCACACAUAUUUUCAACAUACCUGAAAUUUAUAUUCUAAAACUUAUAUCCGUAUCUAUAUUCUAAAAAUGUGUAUCUUAAGACUCAUCUUUGGUUAAGGGCUCAUUAACAGGAAAAAGCUUUUAGCAAAUUUAUUAAUUAGGGUCAAUCUACUGUUGAUUAUUUAUUUAGCUUAUUAGCUUAGUUUAAUUCUAUCAUUAUUACUUGUAAGUAAAAGAGAAUGAGCUUGAAUUUCAAAGGUAUAUAUCAACUGCAUGUUAAAUAAUAAUAGUUACUAUUAAAUUCUACCCAUGGCUUUUAUUCCUAGAACAGUCCCACGCUAACUAAACUUUUUUCAUGAAGUUGUCAUGAUGUAAAAAUUGCUAAGGUUAACUCCUGGUAAGAAUCCCUUUCCACAUGCACCAUCAAUGCACGUGAUGGUGAGUGUGUUAAGGAGGAGGGGAGAAUGAAAGGCAGAGCUUACAGUGUCUACUUGGACAGUACAAAAGUUUGUCAGAAUUUUUUUUUAAAAAGCUACUUCAAAGAGGUGAGUUUUCAAUUGCAAUUCAAAAUGAGGGUGGCCAGGCACAGUGGCUCAAGUCUGUAAUCCCAGUGGUUUGGGAGGCCAAGGCAGGAGAAGCACUUGAAGCCAAGAGUUCAAGACCAGCUUGAACAACAUAGCAAGCCCCUGUCUCUACAAAAAAUUUAAAAAUUAGCCUGGCAUAGUGGUGCAUGCCUGUGCACCACUCAGAAGGCUAAGGUGGGAGGAUCGAUUGAGCGAGGAGUUUGAGGCUGCAGUGAGCCAUGAUCACGCCACUGCACUCCAACCUAAUGACAGAGUGAGACCCUGUCACUUACUUAUGCAUUUAUUUAUUUAUUAUAAAUAAAUAAAUAAUAAAAUGAGGGUGACACUCAGAGCCACAAGACCAAACCCCAGCGAAGAAGAGAAGGUGAGCAUUAGAGUCUAAGAAUAGUUAGUAUAUGCCAUGCUUUCUAGGAGGGCCCCAGAGCCCUUUACAAGCUACGCUGGGGUUGAAGAGAGAUGAAGUUAAAACAAACUGUAUCUGCUUCAAGGUCCUUUCUUACAGCUCUACACCUAUGAUCUUCCAGAAAAAGAAAGCCCACUUUCUUUGAUGCAGGGAUUGUGUUGUGAAAACUCUAGUGCUAUGGCUGCCAGUUAUUUCCCCUUUCAUCCACAAUAGUAAUUUCUCCUCCAGCUGAUGAGCUCAAAGUGUUAUGGUUCCAAGCAGAAAUGCUACUUGCAAACAAAAAAAUCAGAGAGAGUGUUUUUAAAUCCAAAUCCUUUUAUCUUCUGGUUUGCAUGUGGGCAAAGCCUAUUUUUUAAUAUCACAAGUGGCUUAUUAUUCCAACGCUGGAAUAGAAGGAGAAGGCUGAAGUUUGGGUAAGAUAUAAAAACAGAUUAUCUUUCAUCAGCACCCAAUAGUUGGAGACCAAUUUUGAGUAGAUAAUAAACAGACUUCUUUGCUAAGGAUGUGCUCUUGACAAGAAGUGUGUCUUGAACUGAAGGUUGAAGUAAUUGCCUUAGGCCUCCAGGAAGAAUGCAAAUCUGCAGGUCUUCCACAGGUUUCUGAAAUCUUACGUCUGUAUUUCUGGGGUCAUCAUCCAUGUUUCCAAAUGCUAACACAUAUGCGGGAAAUGCAGGGUCGUAAUGGUGGAUGUCCCUACAACGGGCUUUUUUUUGUGCUCUUGAGAUUUCUGAUCAUGUUUUUAUGUGAUUCUUCAGUCCCUGCACCUACAUUCCAUACCUUGGAAAGCUGAAUGGCUGUUCUUGGUCUCAGCUGGUCCUUCUCAAUUUCAGUAACGAUCUCAGGACAUUCAUUUAUAUAAAAAAAUCUGAUUAACAGUGUGAUGCUCAUAGGCAGACCCAAUUUUCUUACCUUUUAAUAAAUUUAUUAGCGGAUAAAAGUGGGCCUCAAAUAAUAGUUCAGAGAGAUGUUUACCCUCAGUGCAACAAGUGUGCUCUUCAUAAAUGACUGCAAAUAAAGCUCAUAUCCAAUUAAGAGGUUGACUUGGCUUAAAAUAUACCUCCUAGGCUGGGCCUGGUGGCUUCUGCCUGAAAUCAGCAGUUUGGGACACUGAAGUAGGAGAAUCACUUGAGGGAAGAAGUUUGAGACCAGCCUGGGCCACAUAGUAAGACCCCAUCUCUCCAAAAUAUA
rnacentral:lncRNA from 1 species